UUACGCACCUCGUACUCCGUUCGCUAGCGUCGUCAGUACUGUAUCACUCACAGUUGCGGUAACAUCGUUCUUAACUCGCCUCUGUCGUCGUUUGACAAGUGUGGAAAAAUUGCGUCACCUUUUGAAUUACCUACUUGAAGUGACGAUUUAAAGGAUUCAUUUGAAGUGACGAUUUCAAGAAGCAGUUUGAAGUGAUAGCGUGAAGUGAUUUACGGAGUUGUUGCUAGAGAUAAACAGUUCACCGAUAUAUUUGGCCGAUUCACCUAAAAAAAUUCGCCUUGAAAACAAUAGCCAAGAAUAGCAAAGCAAGUGAAAUAAAUUCACACAGCAGAAAUGGCGAAUGGUUUUUGCAAAAAUUGGACCAUCGGCUGGAGAGGAGUUGGCCUAAUCAUUGGAUGGUUGAUUUUCAUGCCAAUUUUUCCCUUGUUUUUUGACGCCUUCAUGAACAUUUUCGAUGAGUCUCGUUUGAAUUUCAUCGGAGCAAUUAUCAUAAUAAGUCAAAUUGCAAAUAUCACAUGGAUUUACGGUCUUUCUGAAUACAAGCCUCGGUGUUGUCUUUUUUCAUUAAUUUGGUUCGCUUUCUUGUUUGGAUUAAACGGAUCUUUGAACCGCACACUUCGUUCAAAUGACCAGAUUUACAUGAGUCUCGUGUGUCUAUUACUUUACAUUCUUGCUGUGUGUAGCUAUGACUCCAUAUCGAAUCAUGCGUCUAGGAUUCGUGCAAAUCAAUCUCGAACAAAUCAGUAUGCUUCAAAUGUGACUCGAGUGUACCAAUCUCGCAACCACAGUGUUACGCCCACGGCACCAAAUCAACCAUUGAAUUUGACAUGUGAAGUGUCCAUGAUGAAUACCGACGACAAUAAAUCACUUAUUAUGACGGUCGAUUAAAGGAUUUGACCGCUCACUUGUGAUAGAACCCCAAAAUGAUAAGAUACUUGUUGGAUCAAAAAAUAACUUACUCAUAAUUACCUCAAAAUACGUUAAGAUAGAAAUGAAAACAUGAAGAUUCUCAUUUACGAUAAAAAAAAGUCAGUUAUAAUCUUGGUAUAAGAACGAAAUGAAAAAGAAUAUUCUUGUUUAAAAGGAACCAAAAUAAAAACAAUGUUUUUUUCUUUGUGAAACGUAUUGAUUCUAGAGAAAGUGUAGCAAAGAGUUGGAAUUUUGAGAGUUUAAUUCGAUUAUAGAGCUAUAAGAAAUGGUUUCGAAUUUGAUUAUUUUAGCCUAAGAAAAUUAUUUUGUUUACCAAAUGAUGCAAAUUGAAUACGCCAAAAGUUUCACUCAAAACUUAAAAAGAACAAAAAUUCACUUUGAGUUCAAUUCAUUUUCGUUGGGAUUUUAGCAUUUUUUUUUCGAGAUGAACGAUGAAUUCAUUUCAGCAUGGAGGAAGAGGUACUUGAUCACAUUUCAUGGAGAGGAGUUGGCGAAGUAAUGGGAUAUGUAGCAUUCGUGGAGACUGUUGUCCUGAUUGGCUUAUCUAUCGCGCUUAUAACUGAUCCUUGGACUUAUCUCCUGUUUCUGGGUGAGGUUUUUAAAAAC